GUCAUUUUCCACGAUCAUCCUCAUAGUCACUCACACGUUCAAAAGAAAAUUGCUGGAAUUUUCUGGAGUUAGCAAGCCAACUCAAAAGCAAAAUGAGGUUUUGGAGUUCGCAUGGACAAUAAUCUAUACCUGUCGGAACACCAUAGCAAACGGGAGAAGCUCCGAUCAAGAAAGGUAGAUUACAAGCUUUGCGAGCUUGCCCCAUGAAUGAACCAAUCUUGGGUCUGCGGUUACAAGUACUACACACACUCACACAACUAUCAGGAGAACCAGCUAAGAGAUAGCAGAGUGGGGUACCAUGGGGAGCAUAACAUCCGCUCAUAGACAAAGAUCCACUACAGCAACCCAUGAGUAGAGUAGCAGCACAUCUAUUGAGCUUCUUAAUCUCGUGUUCAUUAACAUAUUGGGAUCCUGAAGUUCAACAGGUACAUUCAAGUGUCAUUUAUCAACACAGGUAGUCUAUAAAGAUGCAAAGAAUAAGGAUAAACUAGCCACGGAAGUCAUUAUCCAGUCAUAGCAAUUGCAAAAAGUUCAAAUAAUCCAUACCACUUCCAUGGCCAAUAUAAAUGAAGAGGUCAUAGAUUUUCAAUGCCCCCACCAAUUCUUCACUUUUAGGCACAGUUCCUGUCUUCCCCUGUAAAGCAAGUCAAGCAAGCAUUUGAUGUAUAUGCUACGACCUUGCAUUUCAAGUUUCAAAUAAAAAGUAGCAAACUAGUACAAUGCAGUAAAAAACACUUGACUAAUGACACACGUGAACAGAUGAUCGUUGUCUAUUCCCAGAAAGCAUAGAUUUGAAUGCAAUUUGAACUACAUAUUCCUGUUUUCCAACUGUCUAGCUAAUCAAGAAAUAAUUACCUCAAACUUCUGAUCUCUGAACCAAUUCUCAAAUUCAACCUGUGUGCGGCUAAGAUCACCACUGGGAUUCAACACAUAAAAGGAAUCCAAGGGAUCUAUAACUGGGAAAGCUUCACCCUGCUCAGGCAGCUGAUCCUGAUACUGAUGGCAUCUAGCAAGUGUGGUACAGAUACUGCCAACAGAAGGCAUGCGAUAGACUUCUUCAUUUCUUAGUAUUGGUAGACUCUCCCAAGGAAGCAUCUGCAUGGAGUUUUUGAUCAAUUACUAGAUCUAGAAAUUGCCUUUCCUUUCAUCCUUUUAUUCCAAAAAAUAUAUGUAAAUGAACAUGGUAUGAUUCGUCACCGACUGCACAAGUCACUCAAGUACCUGAUUGAGCUGUAUCCAGCUAGGGUAGUUGAAGAACAAACAAGCUUAUGUUAUUUUGUUAAUACUUGCAGUUAAUGUCAAUCAGAUUAUCCAAGCA